rnacentral:rRNA from 1 species
UUGGAUUUCUGGCGGGAGCGGGUGGUCCGGCACUUUGUGUUGGUACUUUCCUGUCUCUUGCCAUCCUUGGGUCUAAGCUGUCUGGCAUUUAGUUGUCGGGCAGUGGCUGCCCAUCGUUUACUGUGAAAAAAUUAGAGUGUUCAAAGCAGGCUUAUGCCGUUGAAUAUAUUAGCAUGGAAUAAUAAGAUAGGACCUUGGUACUAUUUUGUUGGUUUGCGCACCGAGGUAAUGAUUAAGAGGGACAGUUGGGGGUAUUCGUAUUCAAUUGUCAGAGGUGAAAUUCUUGGAUUUCUGGAAGACGAACUACUGCGAAAGCAUUUACCAAGGAUGUUUUCAUUAAUCAAGAACGAAAGUUAGGGGAUCGAAGAUGAUUAGAUACCAUCGUAGUCUUAACCAUAAACUAUGCCGACUAGGGAUUUGUGGGUGUUAUUUUUGACCCC